CUGGCUCAGAACGAACGCUGGCGGCGCGUCUUAAGCAUGCAAGUCGAACGGCAAGAGGUAGCAAUACCUCCUAGAGUGGCGGACUGGUGAGUAACACGUGGGUGACAUACCCUUCAGAUGGGGAUAGCUAUUAGAAAUAGUAGAUAAUACCGAAUACGAGCACGAGGGGUUAGAGAUCUGUGAGGAAAGGAGCUAAGGCUCCGCUGAAGGAAUGGCCUGCGGCCCAUUAGCUAGUUGGUGAGGUAAGAGCCCACCAAGGCGAUGAUGGGUAUCCGGCCUUAGAGGGUGAACGGACACAUUGGGACUGAGAUACGGCCCAGACUCCUACGGGAGGCAGCAGCUAAGAAUAUUCCGCAAUGGACGAAAGUCUGACGGAGCGACGCCGCGUGGAUGAAGAAGGCCGGAAGGUUGUAAAAUCCUUUUGAAACUGAAGAAUAAGCGUUGUAGGGAAUGACAGCGUGGUGACAGUAGGUUUUGAAUAAGCAACGGCUAAUUACGUGCCAGCCGCAGC
rnacentral:rRNA from 1 species